rnacentral:rRNA from 1 species
AGAGUUUGAUCGUGGCUCAGGAUGAACGCUGGCGGCGUGCUUAACACAUGCAAGUCGAACGAUGAAGCCCAGCUUGCUGGGUGGAUUAGUGGCGAACGGGUGAGUAACACGUGAGUAACCUGCCCUUAACUCUGGGAUAAGCCUGGGAAACUGGGUCUAAUACCGGAUAGGAGCGCCCACCGCAUGGUGGGUGUUGGAAAGAUUUAUCGGUUUUGGAUGGACUCGCGGCCUAUCAGCUUGUUGGUGAGGUAAUGGCUCACCAAGGCGACGACGGGUAGCCGGCCUGAGAGGGUGACCGGCCACACUGGGACUGAGACACGGCCCAGACUCCUACGGGAGGCAGCAGUGGGGAAUAUUGCACAAUGGGCGCAAGCCUGAUGCAGCGACGCCGCGUGAGGGAUGACGGCCUUCGGGUUGUAAACCUCUUUCAGUAGGGAAGAAGCGAAAGUGACGGUACCUGCAGAAGAAGCACCGGCUAACUACGUGCCAGCAGCCGCGGUAAUACGUAGGGUGCGAGCGUUAUCCGGAAUUAUUGGGCGUAAAGAGCUCGUAGGCGGUUUGUCGCGUCUGUCGUGAAAGUCCGGGGCUUAACCCCGGAUCUGCGGUGGGUACGGGCAGACUAGAGUGCAGUAGGGGAGACUGGAAUUCCUGGUGUAGCGGUGGAAUGCGCAGAUAUCAGGAGGAACACCGAUGGCGAAGGCAGGUCUCUGGGCUGUAACUGACGCUGAGGAGCGAAAGCAUGGGGAGCGAACAGGAUUAGAUACCCUGGUAGUCCAUGCCGUAAACGUUGGGCACUAGGUGUGGGGACCAUUCCACGGUUUCCGCGCCGCAGCUAACGCAUUAAGUGCCCCGCCUGGGGAGUACGGCCGCAAGGCUAAAACUCAAAGGAAUUGACGGGGGCCCGCACAAGCGGCGGAGCAUGCGGAUUAAUUCGAUGCAACGCGAAGAACCUUACCAAGGCUUGACAUGUUCUCGAUCGCCGUAGAGAUACGGUUUCCCCUUUUGGGGGCGGGUUCACAGGUGGUGCAUGGGUUGUCGUCAACUCGUGUCGUGAGAUGUUGGGUUAAGUCCCGCAACG